rnacentral:misc_RNA from 1 species
ACACCUCAACUCUCAUGGUUUGCCGUGAUGAGCUUGGACUUUUGGGGGGUUUUGCUGGCCUACAGUCAGCUCCUCUGAAACAGAUCAGCUUGCCAGUAUUUGGUGACGUCACAGGUGUGAUAACUAUCUACGCUUGUGGCUGUUUGCCAAGUAACCUUUGGUGACAGAGGUUUGCUGGAGCUUAUAAAUGUCUCUCCUCGCGAAGACAGCUUUUGACC